UACGGAGGGUGCAAGCGUUAUCCGGAAUUACUGGGCGUAAAGCGUGCGCAGGCGGUUCUAUAAGGCAGAUGUGAAAUCCCCGGGCUCAACCUGGGAACUGUAUUUGUGACUGUAGAGCUGGAGUACGGUAGAGGGGGAUGGAAUUCCGCGUGUAGCAGUGAAAUGCGUAGAUAUGCGGAGGAACACCGAUGGCGAAGGCAAUCCCCUGGACCUGUACUGACGCUCAUGCACGAAAGCGUGGGGAGCAAACAGG
rnacentral:rRNA from 1 species